GACGAACGCUGGCGGCGUGCCUAAUACAUGCAAGUAGAACGCAGUUGCGAACGGGUGAGUAACGCGUAGGUAACUGCCUCAUCGCGGCGGAUAACUAUUGGAAACGAUAGCUAAUACCGCCUACUGUGCGUUGGACCUGCGUUGUAUUCGCUAGUUGGUGAGGUAAAGGCUCACCAAGGCGAAGAUACAUAGCCGACCGGAGAGGGGGAUCGGCCAGACUGGGAAGGGGACACGGCCCAAAGUCGUCAGGGAGGCAGCAGGAAGGAAACUUCGGGAAUGGACGGAAGUCUGAACAAGGAACGGCGAGUGAGGUAAGAAGGUUUUCGGAUCGUAAAGAUCUGUUGUUUGAGAAGCGGUAACUAACCAGAAAGGGACGGCUAACUACGUGCCAGCAGCCGCGGUAAUUC
rnacentral:rRNA from 1 species